GACGAACGCUGGCGGCGUGCUUAACACAUGCAAGUCGAACGGAAAGGCCCUGCUUUUGUGGGGUGCUCGAGUGGCGAACGGGUGAGUAACACGUGAGUAACCUGUCCUUGACUUUGGGAUAACUUCAGGAAAAUGGGGCUAAUACCGGAUAGGAGCUCCUGCUGCAUGGUGGGGGUUGGAAAGAUUCGGCGGUUGGGGAUGGACUCGCGGCUUAUCAGCUUGUUGGUGGGGUAGUGGCUUACCAAGGCUUUGACGGGUAGCCGGCCUGAGAGGGUGACCGGCCACAUUGGGACUGCGAUACGGCCCAGACUCCUACGGGAGGCAGCAGUGGGGAAUAUUGCACAAUGGGCGGAAGCCUGAUGCAGCAACGCCGCGUGCGGGAUGACGGCCUUCGGGUUGUAAACCGCUUUCGCCUGUGACGAAGCGUGAGUGACGGUAAUGGGUAAAGAAGCACCGGCUAACUACGUG
rnacentral:rRNA from 1 species